ACGAGUUAGGGUCUUCUAGGCCCGACCUCCCAACCCUAUGUUUAUUGAACCUCUGUUGCUUCGGCGGACCCGUCUCACGACCGCCGGAGGAUUUGCCGCGAGGCGUCCUCUGGCCAGUGCCCGCCGACAGCCAACCACCAAAACUCUGAAUGAAUCGUGUCAUUAUGUCUAAGUCUAUGAUUAAAUUAAAGCA
rnacentral:misc_RNA from 1 species